rnacentral:rRNA from 1 species
GACAGAGGAUGCAAGCGUUAUCCGGAAUGAUUGGGCGUAAAGCGUCUGUAGGUGGCUUUUUAAGUCCGCCGUCAAAUCCCAGGGCUCAACCCUGGACAGGCGGUGGAAACUACCAAGCUGGAGUACGGUAGGGGCAGAGGGAAUUUCCGGUGGAGCGGUGAAAUGCGUAGAGAUCGGAAAGAACACCAAUAGCGAAAGCACUCUGCUGGGCCGAAACUGACAUUGAGAGACGAAAGCUAGGGGAGCGAAAGGG